UCUGGCCCCUUUGGGGUCCGAGUUGUAAUUUGCAGAGGAUGCUUCGGGUGCGGUCCCCGUCUAAGUGCCCUGGAACGGGCCGUCAUAGAGGGUGAGAAUCCCGUCUGGGAUGGGCGGCCGCGCCCGUGUGAAGCUCCUUCGACGAGUCGAGUUGUUUGGGAAUGCAGCUCUAAGCGGGUGGUAAAUUUCAUCUAAAGCUAAAUACUGGCCGGAGACCGAUAGCGCACAAGUAGAGUGAUCGAAAGAUGAAAAGCACUUUGAAAAGAGAGUUAAACAGCACGUGAAAUUGUUGAAAGGGAAGCGUUGUCCACCAGACUCGCCCGGGGGGGUUCAGCCGGCACGUGUGCCGGUGUACUCCUCUCCGGGCGGGCCAGCAUCGGUUUGGGCGGCUGGUGAAAGGCCCCGGGAAUGUGCCACCCUUCGGGGUGCCUUAUAGCCCGGGGUGCCAUACAGCCAGCCUGGACCGAGGCCCGCGCUUCGGCGAGGAUGCUGGCGUAAUGGUGGUCAACG
rnacentral:rRNA from 1 species